CUGCCGCCACACCCGCUCCCCACAUUAAGUAACCUGUCUUGUUGUAGUUACCAACUUCUCAUGGGCCAGGACUCUUAUCUGCAAGCAAGAGAAGACAGGUGCUGAGGCAUAAAAGAGAAAGGUUGUUAAGCUAUGAGGUUUGAGGAUUUCCGAAGAAGGAUUAGGGAAGUUGGUUCAGCCUGUGAUUCCAGGAGAAGAAUCAAGGAGAAGAAGAAGGAUGGGGACAGUGAGGAGGAAACCCUAUGUCAGAUCACACCACAGGCUGCAAGCACAGAUGAGGCUGUGGCUCAAAGGACAGUGGUUCCCGGUCUCAUCAGCAUGAACCACCUUUCCAGGCUUUGCUGUGAGAGCCCGGAGGGUGGGUCCUCAUGCCUCUGGAAGGUCCAAAGUCUAAAAGUAGAAGACUGGUUGAUGCUUUGAAUCUGACCAUUGUCAAUUCUGUAAAUAGUCUUUCUUGUGUACUACUACUGAUUUUGGACUUCCUAAUGGUAUGUAGCUAGAGCCUGUGACUUCCCGCUUGCCGAUUCUACUUGUAUAAGCUAGACAUCUCUUUGCAGCCAGCUCUCUGGUUCUGGAAAUAAGGUUCUCAAC